rnacentral:rRNA from 1 species
UGGGGAAUAUUGGACAAUGGGCGCAAGCCUGAUCCAGCCAUGCCGCGUGAGUGAUGAAGGCCUUAGGGUUGUAAAGCUCUUUCACCGGGGACGAUGAUGACGGUACCCGGAGAAGAAGCCCCGGCUAACUUCGUGCCAGCAGCCGCGGUAAUACGAAGGGGGCAAGCGUUGUUCGGAAUUACUGGGCGUAAAGGGCGCGUAGGCGGUCCGUUGCGUCAGGUGUGAAAUCCCCGGGCUCAACCUGGGAACUGCACUUGAUACGGGCGGGCUGGAAUCCGUGAGAGGUUGGUGGAAUUCCCAGUGUAGAGGUGAAAUUCGUAGAUAUUGGGAAGGACACCGGUGGCGAAGGCGGCCAACUGGCACGGUAUUGACGCUGAGGCGCGAAAGCGUGGGGAGCAAACAGGAUUAGAUACCCUGGUAGUCCACGCCGUAAACGAUGUGCGCUAGCCGUCGGGCAGCAUGCUGUUCGGUGGCGCAGCUAACGCAUUAAGCGCA